CUCAGAGUCCACCACAAACCCUUGAGCGACUUCUAAUGCCUUCUCAGAUUCAGCUACCUUAUCUCCGGCCGCCACCAAGAAGGCGUCAAACCGAUUCAUCAGUUCCGCCGGCAGAGCGCGUUUCACUUCGAUUAAAGAUUGCUGUUCACUCAUUUGGGCUCCUUAUCUUUAUGAAUUGGGCAAUAGUCCAAGUUUGGGCCGAUUCGCGUUCGACAUGAAAUACACAUGCGGGCAUCACAGGUUUUUCCCUCUCUGAGAGGGUAAUCACAUAGAGUAUUUCCCGGACUCUCACAGAAAGCGCAUGGCCCAUAUCCCGGUUCAUAUCUGACACAAACCAUCGCGUGCCCUGUCACGUUGCCCUUGUCAUCCCUGAUUUCUCGUAAUG
rnacentral:misc_RNA from 1 species